AGAUUACCCCGAAGCUUUACUCGCUAGUAAGCCUAAUUCAAAUCAAAUCAUAGAAAGGCCGGACUCGGAUAUGUGCUUAGUUUUUCCCUUUCACUCCCAAGUAGUAACGUGUGAGCCUAAGAAGGGUGCUCUCCUGUGCUGCACGCUUUUUUUUUCCCUUUCUUUCUUUUCACAACGCCAUGACUGCAAAACGUGUGGAAGGAGGAGGAGGGGAGUGAAAUACGUAGCUGGGACCGCUCCUGGGAGCGCCCCCAACCGGCUUGUAGUUGGCGCUGCGUUUCCCGGUUUCUUGCUCCCUCUCUCCCCAAGCCCUUCUCAAACGCGGCGAAAGAAAAGUUGUAUUAAUUAUAGCCAAUCGCCUUUCUCGUGGUUCUUUUUUUUUUCCUUCCCGUCCGCUAUGCUGCAGUAAAAGGAAGUCCACUUCUCGCUAAAUGUGGUCGGAUAGAGUGGAACUGAAAGCCUUCGAGGCGGCUCGUUUUCAGACGUGAUGUGCUUUUUCUCCUCGUAAGAUUCCCGUGCUUUAAUUUCAGAGCAGAACAAGUAUCGUUUUAGUAGCCGAAGAAUUAAUUUGUACAUGUCCGGUCACGGUGGCGGUCAAAAGUACGGAAUUUGCUGUCAAAUUGCAGUCAAACUAUGACAGCCGUGUGGUGUGUUUAACUCCUUUCAUCACUGAUUUGCCCCAUUGCUUCAUAAGCUGUUUCCAGCUGUCUUCAUGUGUUCGUGUGUGCACAGCCAUUUUACUUCACUGGGAAGAAAGGAAGGAAGGAAGGAAGGACCAGAAUGCUGCCCUUGUCUCCACCUUGAGUCUUCUAAUCGGACAUGCAUAAAAUUGCAUUGUAAUACUAUUUGCAGUUGAAAAAAAUAAUAAAACUGAGUUAAAAG